rnacentral:lncRNA from 1 species
CCUGAUCUCAUGAAGCUCUGAAGUUAAUUUACAGGUUGUUGUAAGGGCAUUGGCUUUUGUUAUUCCACAUCUGUUCAUGUUUAGCACCUUCCAGCUCUCUCUACAGGGAAGCAACAAGAAGCAGAGUGGAGACCAUUGCUGGAGACCAGUCACCCUGGCCAGAGUGAAGACCUGGAUAUUUUUAGUAAAGUCCAUGGAUUGUUUUACCCAAGUGCCUUUUAGUGAAGUGUGGGCUCACUUCUCUUGGAAACCCAAAUAUUCAAAGGGAAACUUGAGAGAACCACCCAGGGAUCACUGUAAACUGACAUGCCCUGAGAAGAGAGAGAAAGAGCCAUUGGCAAACCACAAAGAAAAGAGCUUUGAGGUCAGCAGCCAGUGGCAGUAGGCGCUUAUCAUUGCUGAAAUCCCAGAUGUGCUGAUCCACCCCUCAGUGGAGGCAUACCAAUAUUUGGCUUCUUGAUUCCAGAUCAGUCCAGCUGCCUCUUCUUCAUCCUGCACUGUAUACUACUAGUCAAGAGAAGUGCAGAAGAAAGGAGACCCUUCUGACCAUUUCCAAAUUCUGGAUUCCAGACAGUCCCUCUCUAGUUGCAAUGACCCUCUCCUACUUCCCUACCAAAAAGGUUGCUGUUAUAGCAGGAUGAGUUUAAGAAAUAGAAGCAAAAUAAAUGAACAAAUAAGCACAAAAUAAACUUCAUCUACCGUUUCAUAUUGUAAAAUUAAUUGACUCCUAACAGCAAAGUUAUGGGCAGAGGGAUAAGACUAAAUUGCACUAUGGUGAUACAAGGUGGAAAUAGUUAAUAAAUUGUUAAAACAAUAAGGAGAAAUAAUUUCUUGGAAUGUGGGAGUCAAAGCCUGUAAGAAUGUAACAUAUAGUAGGAGUUUCUAGAAAAUGGAUACCAUGAAUGUAUCUCUAGCCACCAGCCAUGGAAUGAGCCUUUGCCUUAUUGCCUUCUGUGUUAGAUUAAGUUGCAAAUAUAUUUGGAAACCCAGUGGAAUUAUUUUUAAGUUUUUUUGCAAUGUUCUUUCAUAGGGGAAAUAACGUAGAAUUGAAUAUUCCUACAACACAAAUGGUUCAACUCCCAAGGCCACCAGCUUAGCAAAACAAUCUCUGCUGGGACUGAUUUUUCUGCCUGGGGUGUAGUUCAACAGAAUUAUUUUUAAACAGAAAAACUUCCAAUUCAAAAGUCACUGUUUAAAUGAAUAAGUAGAUAGUUGAGGAUUCAUUGAUAUGCACUUUGAUAUGACAGGAAAUGGAAUUGGGUUUGAGAAGACAUCUCUCUGGUAGGAGAAGAAUUGUUUUGAAGAAUAGAUUUCAGUAAGGAGAAAAAUCCUCAGGAAAAAUAAUCUCAUCUUCUGAGAGCAAAUGUACAGGGAAUCGUCUUAGUUUUGUAAACUGCUUGUCUUUACUUUUUUUCUUGACAGAUACAGAUAAAGAUAGACUGCUUUGAAGGAUGACUUAUAAUUUAGGGGUUUAGAACCCUUAACAUUUGACCCAACUUUGAAAUUCUACAAUAUUUUUCCUUCACUUAGAACACAUUAUUCUCAAAAUGUAACAUGUUCUCCAUUUAUGAAAAGUAAUACUUGAAACCACUCUAUCAGUUAGGUUUAAUCAGAGAAGCAGAGUCACUGGGGUUAUAUAUAUUCACAUUUAUAUGGAUUUGUUACAGGGAUUUGACCUAUAGAGCUCAUGUGCAGUCUCUGUUAAAUCUGUUUUUUUUGCAUCUAAUCUGGAGCUGGAGUCUUCAGGACAGACACGUGCAAAAUUCAGGCAGGUGCAGAACUGGAGUUCUUUGCCAUGUGCUGAGUUCAUGACUGGCCCAGGAAUUAGAGAAGAUGGUGAAUGAUCCUGUGGAAAGUGGAACAAUUGCAGAACCAGCUGCUGUCCCAAGGCAUCCUGAACCAAGAGGUAAAUGACAAGCUGACUUUGCUGGAGUCAAGAGACUUCCAAAUGUGAUACAAGCAGAAGCCUGAUAAGCCUUUGUGCACCGGUGCUUUCUUUUUUGGGAUGCUGACCCAAGACCAUGAAGAAGGCUGUUAAGAAGCAGCCCAAGUGCAAGGCCAUGUGGAGGAAGAGAUGCAGCCCUGUCAGUCUUUUCAGACCAGAUGAGUGCAGCACCGGCUAACUCAACUGCUGAGGGCAGCCACCUGCGUGAGUGCAGGUGAGAUCAGCAGGCAAACAAGCCAGCCCACCCACAAGAUUAUGAAAGUGAAUGAAUCCUUGUUGUUGUAAAUUACUAAGUGUAGGGUUUUAUUUUAAUGCAAUAGAUAACUGGAACACAUCUCGUAGGUUGUCACAUGCAAUAUCUAAUUUCUGAUGGGAUAUGUACAUAUAAGAUAACUAAAUAAAUAUAUAUAUUUAACUUUGAACAGGAAUCUAAUAAAAGACAGAAGUAUAUACAUAUAUACAUUGUAUAUGCAAGUCUGUAAUUUGUCUUCAGUCUUUUCUUUUUUAAUUUGACAAUGUAUCUCUUGGGGAUUUUUUCUUGUCAACAUAAAGAACACUGCCUCAUUCUUUGUAAUUAUCUAGUAUCCUAUUAAGUGGGCGUUCUAUAAUUUAUGUAGCCAUUCCCCUGCCUCUGGGUUUUACAGUGCUUCUCAUUUUAAAAAAAUUAUACAUCAUUCUGUACUGAAUAUAUUUAUACACAUAUUUCAUUGCACAUUUCUGAAUGUAACUGUAAUAUAAUUUCCCAGAAGUAAAAUUCUAAGUGUAAGGUAUAUACACACUUUAUUUUGUGAUAGAUUUUAUUUAUCAUUUUGAUAUCCAAUGAUGUUGCAGAAAUUUAUACUAACAUGAAGAGUAUAUCAGAUUGCCUGGUUCCUUUAAUCAAUGGUUAAUAAUACUAUAAAUUAUUAAAUAUUUGGAUAAUUUCCAAUCUGUCUUAAAAAGAUGCCUCAAGUUUGUUUUAAUGAGUCUUUACUUAUUAAGGAUUAUUUUGAACAAUUUUUAUAUGUCUAUGAACUAUUUAUGAUUCUGUUUUCUGUUCAUAUAUGUUGUACAUUUUUCUAUUGGAGUUUUGUGAUCGCAUUAUUUAUUUAAAAGAGUAGCUUAUGAAUUAAAAUUUUACCUUUUGUACUUAUGUACUAGGAGUACUUUUUUGUUUUAUCAAUUCUCUUUGGGCCUGUGUUCAUGAUAUGGUGCUGCUGCCCCACAGAAAACUUUCAUUUUAUGUAGAUAAGUUUAUUGGUCUUCCGUAUUUUAUUUGGAU